UACAGAGGUCCCAAGCGUUGUUCGGAUUCAUUGGGCGUAAAGGGUGCGUAGGCGGCGAGGUAAGUCGGAUGUGAAAUCCCGGGGCUCAACCCCGGAACUGCAUUCGAUACUGCUUUGCUCGAGGACUGGAGAGGAGAUUGGAAUUCACGGUGUAGCAGUGAAAUGCGUAGAUAUCGUGAGGAAGACCAGUGGCGAAGGCGGAUCUCUGGACAGUUCCUGACGCUGAGGCACGAAGGCUAGGGUAGCGAAC
rnacentral:rRNA from 1 species